rnacentral:rRNA from 1 species
AACGAACGCUGGCGGCAUGCCUAAUACAUGCAAGUCGAACGAAAACUUCGGGUCUUGUGGCGCACGGGUGCGUAACGCGUGGGAACCUGCCCUCAGGUUCGGAAUAACUCUCCGAAAGGGGUGCCAAUACCGGAUAAGGUCUACGGACCAAAGAUUUAUUGCCUUUGUAUGGGCCCGCGUUGGAUUCGCUAGUUGUUAGGGUAAAAGCCUCCCAAGGGGACGAUCCAUAGCUGGUCUGAGAGAAUGAUCAGCCACACUGCGACUGAGACGCGGCCCAGACUCCUACGCGAGGCGGCAGUGGGGGAUAUUGGAACGUCGGGGGAGUCAUGAUGCUGCUAGGACCGGUGAGCGCUGAAGGUAUUAGAGUUGUAAUGCGCUUUUAACCGUGAUGAUAAUGACAGUACCGGAAGAGUAAGCCCCGGCUAACUCCGUG